UCGGGGUGUGGCGCAAUUUGGUAGCGCAAUCGCUUGGGGUGCGAGAGGUCAGCGGUUCGAGUCCGCUCACCCCGAU
rnacentral:tRNA from 1 species